rnacentral:sRNA from 1 species
UAUAAUAAGUCCAUCAAUAGUAAUGCAGUGUGGCUGCUUGCAGACAAAACAGCAUUACUAUUAGAUGGGCAAACAGACAUGAGCAUGUAAAUCGUUCAGUUUGCUGAACGAGUGGAAUGCGAAUGGCUGUUGCGAUUUUGGGAGUUCGAAGAACGGAGAAAUCGCAAUUAUUAUG